rnacentral:rRNA from 1 species
UACGAAGGGUGCAAGCGUUACUCGGAAUUACUGGGCGUAAAGCGUGCGUAGGUGGUUUGUUAAGUCUGAUGUGAAAGCCCUGGGCUCAACCUGGGAACUGCAUUGGAAACUGGCUUACUAGAGUGCGGUAGAGGGGUGUGGAAUUCCCGGUGUAGCAGUGAAAUGCGUAGAGAUGCGGAGGAACACCGAUGGCGAAGGCAGCCCCCUGGGCCGACACUGACGCUCAGGCACGAAAGCGUGGGGAGCAAACAGG